GCGUUUGUGGUUUAGUGGUAAAAUCCAUCGUUGCCAAAAAGACGAUCUUCUACCUACUUACCUAGGUAGGUAGAUUGUUCCAGUUUCGAUGGGCCCCGGGUUCGAUUCCCGGCGAACGCA